UACGUAGGGGGCAAGCGUUGUCCGGAUUUAUUGGGCGUAAAGAGCUCGUAGGUGGUUUGGUAAGUCGGAUGUGAAAGCCCGGGGCUUAACCCCGGGUCUGCAUUCGAUACGGGCUAGCUAGAGUGUGGUAGGGGAGAUCGGAAUUCCUGGUGUAGCGGUGAAAUGCGCAGAUAUCAGGAAGAACACCCGUGGCGAAGGCGGUUCUCUGGGACGGUACUGACGCUGAGACGCGAAAGCGUGGGGAGCGAACAGG
rnacentral:rRNA from 1 species